rnacentral:ncRNA from 1 species
CUGCCACAACGGCUUCCUGACGUGGCGGGGUAAUUUUAAAUGGAGCA